GGCAGAGUGGCCGAAUGUACCUGACUCGAAAUCAGGCGUACCGCAAGGUACCGUGGGUUCGAAUCCCACC
rnacentral:tRNA from 1 species